GAUGAACGCUGGCGGCGUGCUUAAUACAUGCAAGUCGAACGGAGUAUGUAGUGAUAUAUACUGAGUGGCGAACGGGUGAGUAACGCGUUGGUGACCUGCCCCGAAGAGAGGGAUAACAGUUCGAAAGGACUGCUAAUACCGCAUGAGGUCUCAGGGAUUAGAUGCCCUGAGUCAAAAGGAGUAAUCCACUUUGGGAGGGACCUGCGUCCCAUCAGCUAGUUGGUAAGGUAACGGCUUACCAAGGCUUUGACGGGUAGGGGACCUGAGAGGGUGGCCCCCCACAAUGGAACUGAAACACGGUCCAUACACCUACGGGUGGCAG
rnacentral:rRNA from 1 species